rnacentral:rRNA from 1 species
AGAUUGAACGCUGGCGGCAGGCCUAACACAUGCAAGUCGAGCGGUAGAGAGGUGCUUGCAUCUCUUGAGAGCGGCGGACGGGUGAGUAAUGCCUAGGAAUCUGCCUAGUGGUGGGGGAUAACGUUCGGAGACGGACGCUAAUACCGCAUACGUCCUACGGGAGAAAGCGGGGGACCUUCGGGCCUCGCGCCAUUAGAUGAGCCUAGGUCGAUUAGCUAGUUGGUGAGGUAAUGGCUCACCAAGGCGACGAUCCGUAACUGGUCUGAGAGGAUGAUCAGUCACACUGGAACUGAGACACGGUCCAGACUCCGUACGGGA